AGAUUGAACGCUGGCGGCAUGCCUUACACAUGCAAGUCGAACGGUAACAGGUCUUCGGAUGCUGACGAGUGGCGAACGGGUGAGUAAUACAUCGGAACGUGCCCGAGAGUGGGGGAUAACGGAGCGAAAGCUUUGCUAAUACCGCAUACGAUCUACGGAUGAAAGCAGGGGACCGCAAGGCCUUGCGCUCAUGGAGCGGCCGAUGGCAGAUUAGGUAGUUGGGUGGGAUAAAAGGCUUACCAAGCCGACGAUCUGUAGCUGGUCUGAGAGGACGACCAGCCACACUGGGACUGAGACACGGCCCAGACUCCGUACGGGAGGCAGCAGUGGGAAUUUUGGACAAGUGGGACGAAAGCCUAGACCCAGCCAUGCCGCGUGCAGGAUAGGAACGGCCGUUCGGUUAGUAAACGUGUACGUUUCGUAACGGAACGAAAGGACUACGUGGUUAAGUACCGU
rnacentral:rRNA from 1 species